CAGGCAACAGCGCGAAUUAAAACAAAAAUCACCACAAACCCUCACCACCACACAGCGAUACUGGGAACCUGACCAGACCGACGUGGCGCCACGGCAAGGCUCUACCCCCUGCCCUGCAUCCCGGCCACCCGCAGCCACGGAGGGCUCGCUUGUGCCACAUCACGGAGGCAGGCAGAGGGACAGGCGGGCGCUCCCCACCCCACCGCGUACCGUACGCGCCCACGGCCGCCCCACACACAGCACAACAGCCGCUACAGCGGGGCAGGGGCCACCCAGCAACCGCCACCGCCCCCCCGCCCCACCUUCAGGGCCCCGCCGCUCCUCCUUGGCCCCCUCGGCGCUUCCCGUUCCUGCCUCGGCCAUGGCGGGCGGCCCGUGCCACCGCUCCACAGCGCCCCCGGACCCGGCGGCAUGCAGGAGGUGAGGUGAGCUGAGGUGGCAGCUUUUAGGCAGCAUGGCAUUCUGUGCGGCAGAGCCUGAACCCGGCUUGGCUGAGAGGCUACAGUCUGCUGGUACCCGCAUUUAAAACCUGCUUUCCUCUUUGAAAUUCAGCUGUGGGAUAGGCAUUUUACAAUCUCUGUGGUACUUCAAAUUUUCAUGCAUGAUAAAUAAAAUUACCUUAAAGGUUAAGCACUUGCUGAACUGCAAAUA